GUAGGAAAUAUUGCACAAUGGAGGAAACUCUGAUGCAGCGACGCCGCGUGAGUGAUGAAGGCCUUCGGGUCGUAAAACUCUGUGAUAAGGGAAGAUGAUGACGGUACCUUAUCAGAAAAGACCGGCUAACUUCGUGCCAGCAGCCGCGGUAAUACGAGGGGUCUAAGCGUUGUUCGGAAUCACUGGGCGUAAAGCGGGUGUAGGUGGCUAUGCAAGUUGGAUGUGAAAGCCCCGGGCUCAACCCGGGAAGUGCAUCCAAAACUACGUAGCUUGAGUGCGGUAGAGAAAGGCAGAAUUCCUGGUGUAGUGGUGAAAUACGUAGAUAUCAGGAGGAACUCCGGUGGCGAAGGCGGCCUUUUGGCCCAGCACUGACACUCAGACCCGAAAGCGUGGGUAGCAAACAGGAUUAGAUACCCGUAUAGUCC
rnacentral:rRNA from 1 species